GAAAAUGAAAGCUCCGAUUGUGUUCCUCCUCUUUGCUCUCAUGGUUGGACUUAAUGCAAUGCCAACUGGUACUGCUGGGGACCGAAAAGUUAUUCCAGGGGAUUUGGCCCUAAAAAUGUUGGAGCCUGAUUUCUUCAACUUCCCUGUUACAAAAGGCAGUCCAAUCUCAGCGAGAAAGAAAAGACAAACUUAAGAAAAGAUGUCCGUCCAUGAGUGUGAAGGGAAACAGCUUUGAAAACCUCCCUUUAAAUCUGGCCCACGGUGUUUGAGCCAAAAUAUGUUCAAUAAAUAAACACAACA